rnacentral:tRNA from 1 species
GCCCCAGUGGUGCUAAUGGCUAACAUAUAUCCUUGGUACGGAUAUGAAGAGAGUUCGAUUCUCUCCUGGGGCUC